AAGAAAUUGGCGGGGGAGCACCACAAGGGGUGGAGCCUGCGGUUUAAUUGGAUUCAACGCCGGACAACUCACCGGGGGCGACGGCAGAGUGAAGGCCAAGCUGACGACUUUGCCGGACUCGCCGAGAGGCGGUGCAUGGCCGCCGCCAGCUCGUAUCGUGAGACGUCCUGUCAAGUCAGGUAACGAGCGAGACCCUCGCCCUUAGUUGCCAUCGGAUUCCGUAAGGAACGCCGGGCACUCUAAGGGGACCGCUGUCGAUAAGACAGAGGAGGGAGAGGGCGACGGUAGGUCCGUAUGCCCCGAAUCCCCCGGGCAACACGCGGGCUACAAUGCGUAGGGCAGAGGGCUGCGACCCCGAGAGGGGAAGCUAAUCCCUAAACCUGCGCUUAGUUCGGAUCGAGGGCUGCAACCCGCCCUCGUGAAGCUGGAAUCCCUAGUAAUCGCGUGUCAUUAACGCGCGGUG
rnacentral:rRNA from 1 species